GCAAACUUGGUCAUUUAGAGGAAGUAAAAGUCGUAACAAGGUCUCCGUUGGUGAACCAGCGGAGGGAUCAUUAAAGAGUUCUAAAAAACUCCCAAACCCAUGUGAACUUACCUUUGUUGCCUCGGCAGGAUCGACCAACUCCGACAGAGCCUACCCUGUAGGUGACGUUGGGCUGGCCGGCCAAGUCUUGCCGGUGGACCAUCAAACUCUGUUUAUUAUACUGUUAUUUCUGAAAUCAAAACAAAUAAGUUAAAACUUUCAACAACGGAUCUCUUGGUUCUGGCAUCGAUGAAGAACGCAGC
rnacentral:misc_RNA from 1 species